GAUCAUGGCUCAGGAUGAACGCUAGCUACAGGCUUAACACAUGCAAGUCGAGGGGCAGCAUGGUCUUAGCUUGCUAAGGCCGAUGGCGACCGGCGCACGGGUGAGUAACACGUAUCCAACCUGCCGUCUACUCUUGGACAGCCGUUCUGAAAGGAAGAUUAAUACAAGAUGGCAUCAUGAGUCCGCAUGUUCACAUGGAAUUAAAGGUAUUCCGGUAGACGAUGGGG
rnacentral:rRNA from 1 species